AGGCUUGAGUCCCCUCUGCUUUCCUUGAGCCUUCCUCCCUCCCCUCCUUGGACCUGCAGCUUCGCGCUCGCCCCCGGGCCUCUCCGCGCGCACCCCUGGCUCCUCGCUCCCAGGUGGAACGGCGCCUCGGCCUGCGGGAGGCCUGGGCUGGACCCCCGAGCCAGCCUGGGGCUCGGGGGCGGUGGCGCGUGGGGCGGGGCCCGGGCUGCGUGUGCGAGCGUCGGGCGCGGCUCAGGCCUCGGUCGCCGGCACUCCCGGAGUAGAGCAGACGGUGGUCCAGGCUCCAGAGAACCGGAAGGGCAAACAGAACAGCCUCUAUCUGAAACAUUUCUGGAUCUAGUGGCAGAAGAAAAAUGGAGAAUGUGGCAAACCAUGUGCUGACUCUGCACAUUUCUGCCUGAGAUCGACACACAUCAAUUUCACCAAUAUUUCAGCAGCCAAAGUGGAUUCUUCACCACUGAGCUACCAAAUGCUUCUUUGCUGCUGCUGAUCAAUGAAAUUUAUGACAAGAUCCGUAGCAUUCCGAAACCUACCGUGCCAAGGCAAAAGCAUCAUCAAUAAAACUUGCACGAUCAGCAGAAGAAAAGUCCUGGGAAGAGAAAGAAAAAAAGGAAAUUCCAUCAAAAACAGAUGUUAUUUCAUCAGGAGUUGUUACAGUGACUACAAUUGGGUGUGAAGAUAUCAAAGAAUCAUCCUCUUGCACAGGUUUUCACAGCAAAAUAGAGUGGUGGAGAGGCCUAGCCCUAUAGUCAAGCUUUGUGGAUUCACAGCUCAUUUUCUCGACAUGAUUGGAUCACUAAUCUUCAUGAGCAACAAGGACAUUUUAAACAUAGUGAGUGGCUCAGGUACUAAUAUCUGCCAUUACAGAGUCAAACUGAUGUACUGCAAAGCACACCAGAUGAAACCCACUGGAGACCUGCAUUGUCAAAACGUUAUUCACAGGCUUGAAAGAAAACAAUAAGCUUUUCUCAUAUGCUUGAAAUAUUUCAUAAUAAGAAAAACAAAAAGUAUUCCAUUGAGCCUAAAUGAGGUUACCGAGUAUGUGCCAGAAUCGUUCCAAAACCAUGAAUGCAGUACAGAACUGGCUGCAUCCUGUGUAAUGUGAGAGCCUAAACUGCUACCAAUGAAAACAGACAAACUCCGGGACACCAGUCCUCCAAGGGAGCCUAACUGACCACUGGCCUUCCCCCCACCUUGCUGUCACUUAGUAUUUCAGAGUAUUUUCUCAACUAAAACAGCUAAGUUUCAAAACGUCAGCUCUCAAGUGUAUAUUUUAUCAUAAUAUUAACUCAUAUGGUAAAAUAAUCCAAAGAUUUAUACUUAUGAAAUACAUAACAGAAACUUAUGAAUGGAACUGUGUUCCUUAUUUUUUGCCUUCCUAUAGUGUAUAGAAUUUUUAUAAAGUAUUUUGAUGGCUUUACUCAGAUGCAAUUUUUGUUGUUUUCACAACCCAAGAAGCAGUUUUAAACUCUUAGCAAUAAUCAUUUAAAAGUUUUGACUUGUUUUCACUUUACACUAACAGAUUUUUAGAAUCUCUUGAAGGUAGAUAUUCUUUAGAGGUAGAUAUAUCUUUAGAUAUUCCUUUUCCUCUACCAAAUUGCAAACACUUAAAUCAUUUUAUUGUUAGACUCAGAGAAAUAGGUACUUUAUUGUUUGUGAAAAUGUAAUUUGGAACAUAUUUUUGAAAGUCAGUUUGGAGAUACAUACAUAUACAUAAGUACAUGCACAUGUGUUAUAUAUGUGUAGAUGUGUGUAUAUACACACACGCAUAUGCUCAUACAUAUUUUGAGCCAAUUUCCUAAGAAUUUUCCUAUAGAAAUAUGAGAAAAUAUCAUUCCUAGUUUUUUAAAAGGCUGUUUAUUACAUUUUAUAGGUGUUUAUAGGUAAAAAAGUGGGAGCAAUUUAAGCACCCAAAUCUAAUGGGAAAGUUGAAUAAAUUACAUUAUAUUCAUAUCAUGGACUAUCAUGUAUCCAUUAAGUCAUUUGCAGAAAAACACCAAAUAACAUGGUAAAGUGUUGAUAUAUCGUAAAAACAUGUUACACAACACUAUAUAAAGCAUAAUAAUGCUAUGUAUGUGUCCAGAAAAAAAUGACUAGAAAACCAUCUGCCUAAAUACUAACAAUCACUAUACUUGAGUGAUGGGGUUAUAGAUGGAUUUUUUUUCUUAUAAUUUUUUUGCUUCUCAAGUUUUCUGUAGUGAAUGUCUCAUAAUAUAUUUUAUGAAAUAACUAACCAAAAUAAAUGUUACAAGUUUCUUGACGUAUUUGUACUUUGACCCAGCAAUUUUAUUUUUCAGACUACAUCCUAACAUAAGGAAAUACACUGUAAGUACACUUAAGAUGUACUUACAGCUUUGUUCUUUCUGACUUGUUUAUAGUAAUAAAAUACUGGAAUCUACUCAAAUGUCUAGCAUUAGUGAAUUGGUUUUAAAAAGUAACAAUGUAUUCAUGCAAUGGAAUACUGCUCAGUCUUUAAAAUCAGAUUCUUGAAAAUAUUUAAUAAAGGGAAAUGUUUACAAUAUAUUCAGUUAAAAGGCAUGUGGAUAGAGAAAUAUGUAGAGAUAAUUUAAUUACAAUUUUGAUUACCUAAAAAAAUUAGAAUAUCCAUUAGCAUGUUAACAGGGCUUACCAAUGGAUGGUGAAAUUAUUUAUAUGUUCUUUUGAUUUCCCUUUUUAUAAUUUCUAUGCUUUCAACAUUUGUAAUUUUUAUAAACAGAAAAAUAUGUAAACAAUGAAACUUUAUUCUAUAGUAUAUAGAAUUGUCUUAUUGCUAGUAAUAUUAAUAUAUGCUAUCUAUAUAAACAUGAUCCCUCCAAAUAUUUUUUCAAACUAUCGUUUCUAAUCUACUCAGUUUAAUACUAUACCACACAAUAAGAAUGUUGAAAUAUUUUAUUUUAAUCCCUUGGUCUUUCUGAUAAACAACAGGUAGCAUUUUGACCAAAAGAUUUGCUUUGCUCUAUAAAAUGCUUCAAACAACAUAGGGAUAUUCAGAGGGCUGGCCUUAAACUUUCUCUAAACAGUGACAUAAGGUUUCUUUUCUCUUUUUUUAGAAUAUAAAUACUUUUUAUUGUAUAUACUAAGUUUGAUUGAGUGUCAAAGAUUUGCUUAUACAUUUUUAGUUGCCAACUUUAGUUUUAGUUGCCAAAUUUUAAGGUUUCUCCAUUCUUCACUUGUUCAGAAUCGAAGUAGGUAAAAGUCAAAACAGUUUCAAGUUCAGUGGUGCCUCAGGUGUAACCUUCCUCUCUGAUGCAAGAACCAUACCCACAGGGUGAAGUUUUUUUAAUUCAUUGAGAGAGUUUAUGUCUUUGACAUAAGCCUCUGACUAAAUGAAAGACAAGUAACUAUUUGUCUCAGGGAAUGCAAAUAUAUAUACAGGUGUACUUGGAGGGCUCUUUGUGUGGGGAUAUUUUUAUGUCCUUAAUUGCUUGAUAUAUCUUUUUUGUCACAAAAGACUGAGCAUAACUACUGCAUACUGCAUGAUAGAUAAUAAGCCCAAAGAUUUAUCCAUGUGCUGCUACUGAUGCAUGGACUCAAUGAGUAUUUAUUGAGUAAAACAUAGUUCUGGCCAUUUGAGAUAAAAAAGACACAGCUGUUCCUUUCUUAAGUGAAAACACAAAGACAGUUACAUGAAUUUUAUAUACUCUUUUUCGAUGUUUAGUCUCCAAUAAAACAAAAAAUUAUAAUUGAUAUUUACUGAUUUUCACUUAAAUUUAGUAUGAUAUCAUUUUAAAAGUUCAGCUUAAAAUCAUUGCCAUAUAGCCCACAAAUAUCACCCGUGAAAGUUACCAAAAACAUAUUUUUAAAGGUUCAGGUAGUUUAUAUAAAUAUUAAGGAUAAAAUGCAGUAUAUUAUGAUUUUUCCUGAUGAAAAGAAGGACUUACACUGAUUUUUUGGACUCCGUGCAGCUCAUUCAAUAGUUUCAAAUUUUGUGAUAGGCUUUGAAAAUACAACAGGGCAAGAGUUUUUGCUACCCAGAGGAACAGGCAGAAAUGAAGUCAGGUUUAGAUAAAGAUCAGACCAUGAAAAUAAUUGAAAGGUGAAAAGAGAAAAGGAAAGGAAGAGAAACGGAAAGCAAAGAUAAAAGCUUCGGAAGAACAAAGCAAAAAAAAUUUUUUUUUACUUGGUU